rnacentral:lncRNA from 1 species
AAUAAAUGUAAUGUGUGUAUCCACAGUCACAAAGGUAAGUUCUUUCAUAACAUUACUUUAAUUUAAAUGAUUUCAUUCUUAUGAUUUGACCGUCGCUGUCAUUAUAUUCAUGAUACAUCUUGGAAAAAUAACAAUUAUAUUGAAUGAAAUUAACGCAGAAUCCAUCAAAAUGUAACCCCUAGUUACCCCUUUAGACGUCACCAUAACAUCUGUUUCAUUCAUAAAUGUACUCCAUGAGCUUAUGUUCACCAAUCACGCUGAUUGAUGAAUCCUUUAAAGAAUGUAUGAAGGGGUACUGGAGGUUUUCAAUAACUAUCUUAAUUGUUAACAUAUCAAUUUAGAGUUAAUACUUUGAAACAUUAAUUCUACGUAAAAUUUGUCCUUAUAAGAUGUAAGUUAUAACGGAGACAGUUCGAAGAUCCAAAUAGAAUUUUGUCUAAUAUUUGUUCUAUAAAUUUCCCAGAAAAUAAUAAUUUAUCAACUUCAAUGUUGCUAUUACGUCAUAAAGUUAUGAUGUUAAGAAUGUAUUCAAUAACUGAAUGUCUCAACAGAUGAAUAGUUUAAGACUAAAAUAAAUUUAUUGGUAAAGAAGGCUUUCAUAAAUCAUAGGAAGAAUUGAAUGAAAUGAAAUAAAACCGUUUAAAUAUUAAAACUAGAAAAGUUUAAGUGAUGAAUGUGUCAUUCAACCCAAUUGCUUUUGCGGCUUCUGUUGGAUGGCACUAUUUUGUGUGUUCGCACAUUAACAAAUGUUUCAAUAAGGUUUUAGUAACUCUAAGUAAUUGUUUGCCACAGUAUUGCCAGUUUAUUGUCGAUUUCAACGCUCUCUUGUCUUUCUAAUGUUUUGUAUUGUAUCAAUACUCAAUACUCAGCAAAGAUACAACUUUAAUAUUUGGUAUACCAGACGCGCCCACGUCGACAUAAGACUCAUCAGUGACAUGGCAACCUUAACUGCAUAUAAACAUUCAUUCUUAAGAGGUCGAUGUCGUCCGCAUCUAGACUGCAUCUUCAAGUGUUCAACUAUUACAAUCUAUGUAUUUGAGCCAAAGUAGCAGUGUGUUCUAUUGUCUCACGUCCAGGAACUUACAUAUCCAACAUAAUCGUUUAUAAUUCAUUACCCAUGUUCAGGUCUAAUAUGUAGUUUGUAUUUAUAAAUGUAUCAAAUAUGAAUGCGAUGUAUAGUUCUAAUACUUGGUAAAUAUAUAAUUUAAUUGCAAGUACUGUACCACCCAUGCAUUAAUUGCUUAAGUGUUUAAGGUCAUGUGUUUAGUAAAAACCUUCCGAUUCAAAUAAGAAUAUGUAUAAUUUUCAAUAAGUACUCAGAAAUCUAGAAAA